rnacentral:rRNA from 1 species
UACGUAGGGUGCAAGCGUUGUCCGGAAUUAUUGGGCGUAAAGAGCUCGUAGGCGGUGUGUCGCGUCUGCUGUGAAAACUCAGGGCUCAACUCUGAGCUUGCAGUGGGUACGGGCACACUAGAGUGCUGUAGGGGAGACUGGAAUUCCUGGUGUAGCGGUGAAAUGCGCAGAUAUCAGGAGGAACACCGGUGGCGAAGGCGGGUCUCUGGGCCGUAACUGACGCUGAGGAGCGAAAGCAUGGGGAGCGAACAGG